ACGGUUUCAGUGUUUGUCAUUAUUCACUGAUUAAAAGGGAAAUCGGUCAGAUUCCGAUGCAACAGCCAUUACUGUAUUUGACCAAUGCGAAACGAUAUGCCAUUGGGCUUUAACUAGAGCCUGAGAAGGCGUUUCGCUUGAACUGAAGGGUUCAUAGGUCAUUAGCCAGGAGACCUGCCGUGUUUUUU
rnacentral:ncRNA from 1 species